CCCCUCUCGGACUCGCAUCUGGAGAGUUUCCAGUACUCUACCAGUCUUGGCUAUGGGAGGGAGAAUCAAGCAGAGGCAUAUCCAUUGUAUUCCUAGCUUGGCCAGUGGCUAGUGAGUGGAAGGAAAUCUGCUGCAAGU